UAGUGAUCUGACGGUACUGAGUGGAAAGGCCGUCACUCAACGGAUAAAAGUUACUCUAGGGAUAACAGGCUGAUCUCCCCCAAGAGUUCACAUCGACGGGGAGGUUUGGCACCUCGAUGUCGGCUCAUCGCAUCCUGGGGCUGGAGAAGGUCCCAAGGGUUUGGCUGUUCGCCAAUUAAAGCGGUACGUGAGCUGGGUUUAGAACGUCGUGAGACAGUUCGGUCCCUAUCUGCCGUGGGUGUAGGAGAAUUGAGAGGAUCUGUCCCUAGUACGAGAGGACCGGGAUGGACGUACCUCUGGUGGACCGGUUGUUGCGCCAGCAGCAUAGCCGGGUAGCUAUGUAUGGUCGGGAUAAACGCUGAAAGCAUCUAAGCGUGAAACCCACCUCGAAACGAGUUCUCCCUUGAGAGCCGUGGAAGACCACCACGUUGAUAGGCUCGGUGUGGAAGCGCGGUAACGCGUGAAGCUAA
rnacentral:rRNA from 11 species